AUGUGUAUGUGUGUGUGUGUGUGAUUAGUCUGUGUUCUGACCACAGAGGAAAGGAGGAAUGCAAAUGCCUAUACAGACGCCCUAUCUAAUAACCGAGCCAUGAAAUCUCUCCCAUCUCCCAUAGGGCCUCACCUGCAGCAAAACAACUAAAGCAUUGUGGGUGUUCCAUUCAUCUCGCCGGGGAGCGCGUGGAAACGUGUUUCAACUGGCUGAAAGAUGAUUGCAUUAGUGGGUGUGAGCCGAUGACGUGACGAUCUUUUACCCCGGAUCAACCCUGGUCAGCGAUGAGGUGACGAUCCUUUCCCCCGGAUCAACCCUGGUCAGCGAUGACGUGACGGGCCUUACCCCCCGGAUCAACCCUGGACAGAGAUGACGUGACGAUCCUUUACCCCGGAUCAACCCUGGUCAGCGAUGAGGUGACGAUCCUUUACCCCGGAUCAACCCUGGUCAGAGAUGAGGUGACGAUCCUUUACCCCGGAUCAACCCUGGACAGAGAUGAGGUGACGAUCCUUUACCCCGGAUCAACCCUGGUCAGCGAUGACAUGACGGUCCUUUCCCCCGGAUCAACCCUGGUCAGCGAUGACGUGAUGGUCCUUUCCCCCGGAUUAACCCUGGUCAGAGAUGACGUGAUGGGCCUUUCCCCCGGAUCAACCCUGGUCAGAGAUGACGGUCUUUAUCC
ensembl:lncRNA